rnacentral:rRNA from 1 species
GGGGGGGGGGGGGGGGGGGCGGGGCGCGGGCAGGUCGAGCGGAAAGGCCCUGCUUUUGUGGGGGGCUCGAGUGGCGAACGGGUGAGUAACACGUGAGUAACCUGCCCUUGACUUUGGGAUAACUUCAGGAAACUGGGGCUAAUACCGGAUAGGAGCUCCUGCUGCAUGGUGGGGGUUGGAAAGUUUCGGCGGUUGGGGAUGGACUCGCGGCUUAUCAGCUUGUUGGUGGGGUAGUGGCUUACCAAGGCUUUGACGGGUAGCCGGCCUGAGAGGGUGACCGGCCACAUUGGGACUGAGAUACGGCCCAGACUCCUACGGGAGGCAGCAGUGGGGAAUAUUGCACAAUGGGCGGAAGCCUGAUGCAGCAACGCCGCGUGCGGGAUGACGGCCUUCGGGUUGUAAACCGCUUUCGCCUGUGACGAAGCGUGAGUGACGGUAAUGGGUAAAGAAGCACCGGCUAACUACGUG